UUUGUAUUUUCCGUACGCUCUCUUACACAGGCUUUAGCAGUGCUGGUUUAAGCCAAAUCCCAGUUUUGGGAUUGAAGGGAUUUUGAUUCUUCAUUCAAGUUUUCAACUUUUCAUACGCAAAACUGACUAGUUUUUUACAACAAACCUUCUGAUUUUAGCUACUCAAAGAAAGUUAAGCUGUUCUUAUUUGUUUUGUUGAAGGAAAAAAAAAACAAAACUGGGUUUUGGACUCUGGGACGUCGAUGAUUGGUUUUUGUUGAAGGGAAAUGAAAAACUUCACCUUUAAGUCUUUAACUUUGCCUUUUCCUUGAGAAAAAGCUUUUGCUGAAAAUUUCUGCGUUUUCCUGAUUUGGAUCGUGAAGAUUAAAAGCUUAUCAUAUUAGGCUUGGGAUUCUUCUUUGAGCUUUGUUUUUGGCAAUGCAGACUUUAUAUUCUUGUGAAGAAGGGAUGGAGAUCAGAAAGACUAUGGAAAACAAAGGGCCCUUGCUCUGUGGACCAUAGCAAUCUCGCUUCUUUGGCAUCGAAAAGGCAGAAGGCCGACUUGUCUUCACCACAAAGGAUAGAAAGAGAAGUUUGGCGAAGGCAUUGUCGCUCUGCAGC